CUACGGGGGGCUGCAGUGAGGAAUAUUGCACAAUGGGGGGAACCCUGAUGCAGCAACGCCGCGUGGAGGAUGACGCAUUUCGGUGUGUAAACUCCUUUUAUAUGUCAAGAAAAUGACGGUAGCAUAUGAAUAAGCACCGGCUAACUCCGUGCCAGCAGCCGCGGUAGUACGGAGGGUGCAAGCGUUACUCGGAAUCACUGGGCGUAAAGGACGCGUAGGCGGGUUGGAAAGUCAGGUGUGAAAUCCUACAGAUUAACUGUAGAACUGAACUUGAAACUUGUAAUCUAGAGUAUGGGAGGGGGAGAUGGAAUUAGUGGUGUAGGGGUAAAAUCCGUAGAUAUCACUAGGAAUACCUAAAGCGAAGGCGAUCUCCUGGAACAUUACUGACGCUAAGGCGUGAAAGCGUGGGGAGCAAACAGGAUUAGAUACCCCUGUAGUC
rnacentral:rRNA from 1 species